GCUAUGACUGAUGUAGUGAAUGUUGAAGUAUGCCAGAAACCCACUAGUUUGGAAGAUAAGGAAUCACUGAAAUCCCAUUGUGAGAAACACCUUGUUACAUACCUGCCUCAGAUAUGCAGUAGAGGGGUACCCGUGCCAGGGACUCAUUUUCCAGAUGAUUAUUUGCGCGCGCACGUUUUGCACGUGCAGGUUGACUCGACCGAGGAGAUUUUGCAGUCAUGCCCGUUGCGUUACCACGUAUAUCAGCUAUACCAUGAAGAGCCAGGAAGUGAAGAGAUCGAACAGAGUGGGGAGAAUAUAACAACAGCUGUACACUGGUUACUACCCUCCGCUCAGUUUCAGGGUCUUUGGGACAAUCUUAUUUUUGACCAGGAUAUUAAGGGUAAUCUACUGAGUUACGCUAAAACAACCCUACUAUUCUCUGACGCUGGAGUGGACCCUAAUGUUAUAACGUGGAACAAGGUGGUCUUAUUACACGGUCCUCCCGGUACAGGCAAGACGAGUUUGUGUAAGGCGCUAGCCCAGAAGUUGAGUAUCCACCUGAGUGACCGUUACACGUACGGACAGCUACUAGAAAUCAACUCUCACAGCCUCUUCUCGAAGUGGUUUAGCGAGAGUGGCAAACUUGUUCAGAAGAUGUUUGAUAAGAUACAGGAGCUGAUAGACGACCCUCAAGCGCUGGUGUUUGUUCUGAUAGACGAGGUGGAGAGUCUGACUGCAGCUAGACAGACCAUGUCUGGGAGCGAGCCCUCUGACGCGGUGCGAGUAGUUAACGCGCUCCUCACCCAGCUGGACGUUAUCAAACAAUAUCCUAACGUUCUUAUCCUGACUACGUCCAACGUUUCUGGUAACGUAGACCUGGCGUUUGUAGACAGGGCUGAUAUAAAACAGUACAUAGGCCCCCCCGGCCCCGCAGCUAUAUACACAAUCCUACUCUCCUGCCUUACUGAGCUCUGCAGAGUAGCCCUUAUCAACGGAAGCACGGAUGAUAUGAUGAAGUACAGAGCGGUAUCAGCCUUACAAACCACCAACGUAACCACCACCUCCUCCUCUAGUAACAGUCUCUACCACAUAGCCUCUAAGUGUGGGGGGCUGAGUGGCAGGACCCUCCGCAAACUACCCUUCCUGGCUCAUUCCAUCGCUCACUUCAAGUUAGUUAAUUAACAAGUUAAUUAGUUAAUUCAAGUUAGUUAAUUAACAAGUUAAUUAGUUAAUUCAAGUUAGUGUUACAACACUCUGUUACAUUAGUUACUUUUAGUUUGAUAGUUGCUGACCAAUUACUUUUACUGUAAACUCAGCAACUUUCUUAGUUCUUACAUUGUCACUCUAUUGAAUUGCUUAUCUAACAAGAAUGUAGUUCCUGAACAUUAUCUGAAAUAAAAAUGCGUCUUCUCCCACAGAGCUGCCCCGAGUAUGCCGGACUUUAUGAUAGCGCUGAAUAAUGCGGUAGAUAAACAGUUGUUAGACAGAGACCACCUAGACAAGAACCAUCUACACAAACAGACUGGUAGCUAGAAUUAUACGUUACUGAGACUGUACUGUAACACAGUACUGUACUGUAACACAGUACUGUACUGGUAGCUAGAAUUGUAAGUUACUGAGACUGUACUGUAACACAGUACUGUACUGUAACACAGUACUGUACUGGUAGCUAGAAUUGUAAGUUACUGAGUCUCGCUGAGUCUUUUAUGACGGGUUGUUACACACUUUGUUCGUUACUUGGCGCUCGCAAUCAACUGUGUAAUAGUAUUUUUGAUGUUUUGAUCAGUCACGUUUUUCUGAACAACGAAUAAUCGUUUUUUAAAUGGUUGGUUGGAAUUUGUAUAUUAAGAUAUAAUGAGAAUCCUUUUUUUGUAGAAAGAGGAUAUGUAUUUUUAUGUCCAUUUUUAUUAGUGACAUGUGACUUUUAUUUAAUUCUGGGGCACCCUGUGGGAAUUUCAAGUAACGAAAUUGCUGAAAACUUUAGAAAUAGGGUUACAAAACUGGAUAUUUUUAAAAACACUAUAAUAAAACUUUAUUUAUUUUCAUUGACUUGCAGCCGUGCUUUUUUAAUUUUUUGAUUUGUUUUUAGUUGAGCUGUAUUUGUUAAAAUAUUAUAUGUCAAAUCUGGUUUUGGAACUAAUAUUUUCCAUUAUUUUAUAAUUUCUA